UAUUCAAAUAUUGGAAUUCACAUCUAUACUCGCACAAUGAACUAUAGAAUACCACAUGUCCAAUAAUCGAUAUAAACAGAGUGCCAAUCACUCAGCAGCCUACCACAUACCAAACCACCUGCAAGCAUCACUGCCCACUCAACGCCGCCGCUCACAAGCUUGUUGUCCGCAUCAUGUGCUUCGAAAAAUGCUGAUCGCGUGAGACCACUAAAGAGCGCCGCCACGAAUAUUAACGAUAAUAUACGAAAUUAUUUUCUUUGUACAUUCUCUACAUAUACUAUACAUAUUUCGAAAGUCGGCCGAAACAGCGCAUCGUACCAAAAAAAUUGCACGACAACUAUGCUCUGGUCACUUGUGCUUGCUCUCACACGAUGCCCGAACAUUAUGUGGGCAUAGCUUGCUUCUUGCGAAUAAAUGUCGCGAUUCCCAAGCGAAAAAGACUGUUCGAUUGUUCGAAAAUGCAGAUGUUGAGUUAAAGCAGUUUUUAAAAAAUUUAGUUUGCAGUCAAACUUUGCGUCGGUAUUUCUAAAAUCGUGCACUCGCUUGUAAAGCGAUUAAAGUUUAAUAAUAAAUCGUCUAAACUACAUAUUUGUGGCCGGUGGUGUCAAUCGUUGCGACUUUUUGCGUUUUUCGACUUAAUUGCAAACAAUAAUUCAUCAAUAAUUCAAAAUCGGUGAAUAUAUGCUUCAACUAUAAAAAACUCGUCGUGUUUGUGAGUCAAUUUCCUGCGCCCUGUGUCUCAAGCAGCUUGCUGUGUGACACGUGUAAUGAACAAUCAAAUGUUGUCUAUUUUAAAUAUAGACACCCACUUAUUUGUGUGUAUGUGUAAAUACGAAGAUGACGUGCAUAUAAGCGAAGUGUGAAAAUGUAUUAGAUUUUACUUUUUAAUAGAAGCGAAAUUUGCAAAAGUGUAAAAAUAAUAAUGAACAAAUGAAAUUGGGCGAAAAACGUAAAAAAUGUAAAAAACAUUAAAAACAUUUUUGUUGCUUCGCAAGGAGCUUUGUUGAGUUUAAAAUUCAUUGUUGUUCAUAAAAAAAAUAAAAAAAAAAAUUAAAAAAAUAUUAAAAAAAAAUUGAAGAAAAGAAUAUCUAAAAAAAAUUCUAAAAAAAAAAAAUUAAAAAAAAAAUAAAAUAAAAAUUUAAAAAAAUACAAAAAAAAAAUUAAAAAAAGUUAAAAAAAAAAUAAUUUCAAAAAAAUUUUAUAACAAACUCAUUGUUAUUCUGGCAGUUUGUAAAGGAAUGCCUGAAGUCAUAUAAUUCUGUAUAAAGUCUCUAAAGGCAACAUGAAAAGAAAUCUUUAUUUAGAUUAAAUUUUUUUAAUUAAAAAAAUCUACAAAACGAUUUUUAGUAAAUUCGUAAAUAAUUUUUGUGAAAUCCGUUUAUUGCUCGUGGCGCAUAACUUGCUGCUUUAAUGCGAGGCGCGAAAAGUGUAAACGAUUAAUAAAAAAAUUAUGUGUUCUAGGUGCUGAUGUCUUUAAUAUGUUUACUUUCAUGUGAUCUUUGAAAUCUAUAAUGCUCGCCGAAUAAAUAAAAAUAAAAAUAGAGAAUAGAAUUAAUGCAGAGUGCUUGUACGCUUUUUUCAAUAAACUUAAAUUUUUAUUAUUUUUUCUGCUUAAGUGCAGUUGCGCGUCCGAAGAGUUAAUUGAAAAAGUGCAGAGUUUAUUUAUUUUUAUCAAAACACAUAAGUGAUUCAGUAAAUAAAUAAACGAAAUAGCAAAUAAUUUAUUACGAUUCCUUCGUGAGUGUUUUCACAAAGUAGUUUAAGUGUGAGAGAAAGAGCGUGAGUCUCAAUUGUACAGCUGCAAAAUGUCGUGCUGUGGCCAAAUAACCACAAUUCGUCCGCCCAUCGAAAUGUCCAGUCAAAGUGACGUUUUGAAGUUGAGAUACGAUCCACGACUAGACAUUCAUCGCAGGGUAAAAGAGAAAAAACGUUAACAAUGAGUUUUGCAUCCCAGUAAAUACCCAAAUUAGUGUGUAUCGAAAGGCAUGCAUUUGAUAUUUGACUAAAGUGACAUGUUCACAUUCACACAUAUGUUCAUACAUAUACAUAGUACGAUGACGCUCGAGUCACCAUCAUCACAUACAUAUAUGUACAUGCAUAUGUAGAUGAAAGCAAUUCGUUAUCGUUGUCGCACAUCCGCAAAUACAAACAUCCUCUGCAGUGCAGCAUACAACUGAUCAGGCUAAGUAGAAAGUUCAAAGCGAGUAUAUUAUUUGCUGACCUAAAUUGAAAUGGUUAGAGAGGAAGCAGGCUUAUAAGAAGUUUUUAUAAAUUUUGAUGCAGAGAAGAGCAAUAAAAAUAAUAAAAGCUGCACAAAUGGAAAAUAUUUCUUACAGGAACUUGAUUUCGAUCGGUUAGUUUGUAUGGUAGCUAUACGCUAUAGUAGACCGAUCUGAAUAAUUUCUUUGGAACUUUUAUUGUUGCUUUUAGAAAUAAUCCAUGUCAAAUUUUGUGAAGAUAUCUUAUCAAAU